UGGGGUUUGUGGACGUACACGGUGGCCAC
rnacentral:piRNA from 1 species